CCUACGGGGGGCAGCAGUGGGGAAUAUUGGACAAUGGGGGCAACCCUGAUCCAGCCAUGCCGCGUGUGUGAAGAAGGCCCUCGGGUUGUAAAGCACUUUCAGUGAGGAAGAACGCCUGGUGGUUAAUACCCAUCAGGAAAGACAUCACUCACAGAAGAAGCACCGGCUAACUCCGUGCCAGCAGCCGCGGUAAUACGGAGGGUGCGAGCGUUAAUCGGAAUUACUGGGCGUAAAGCGCGCGUAGGUGGCUUGAUAAGCCGGUUGUGAAAGCCCCGGGCUCAACCUGGGAACGGCAUCCGGAACUGUCAAGCUAGAGUGCAGGAGAGGAAGGUAGAAUUCCCGGUGUAGCGGUGAAAUGCGUAGAGAUCGGGAGGAAUACCAGUGGCGAAGGAGGCCUUCUGGACUGACACUGACACUGAGGUGCGAAAGCGUGGGUAGCAAACAGGAUUAGAUACCCUAGUAGUC
rnacentral:rRNA from 1 species